rnacentral:other from 1 species
CGAUUGCUGCGGAAUGCGUCAGGGUAACAUAUCCUGGGGCCAUACACAUCUUUAGGGAGCUGUCCCUGUCAGACUCUUGGGUCUGGUAUUACGGUGCCCACCUGCAACUGCAGGCCACAGAGAUCUUUACACCCAACGGUUUUGUGGGGUCGC